UUAGGAGGGAACCACGCAAGCUUUCUCAUCCACAGCUGUUUUCUGCAGAGGCCUAACACCCACCACAAGGAGCGGCCCCUUUCCUUGAGGGGCGCACAGGGGCAGGUGCAUUUCUCAGCUGGUCACGCCACCCCCUGCAGCUGUGGGGGUGGGACCAAGCCUCCUGCACACUCAGACGCCUGCUCUUCUGGCCUUCUGAGUCCCUCUCCUGCCUGCCGAUCCCUUGUAUUGGCCCAAUAUGAUACAUCAAAUACACCAGGAAGCUCAAAGUCUGAGAGGGUCUGCCGCAGCUGGAAACCCGACACUGGAUCUUGUAUAAAGAAAAGAGGCUUAUGCAGCUCACAGUUCUGGAAGCCCAGGAGCACGGCUCUGGCCUUGGCUUCUGGUGAGGCCUCGUGGAGCAAAGUGGAAGACAGCAGGUGCAUGGGAAGGGA